rnacentral:rRNA from 1 species
GAAUUCAACUCCUACGGGAGGCAGCAGUGGGGAAUUUUGGACAAUGGGCGCAAGCCUGAUCCAGCCAUGCCGCGUGUCUGAAGAAGGCCUUCGGGUUGUAAAGGACUUUUGUCAGGGAAGAAAAGGAUAGGGUUAAUACCCCUGUCUGAUGACGGUACCUGAAGAAUAAGCACCGGCUAACUACGUGCCAGCAGCCGCGGUAAUACGUAGGGUGCGAGGGUUAAUCGGAAUUACUGGGCGUAAAGCGGGCGCAGACGGUUACUUAAGCAGGAUGUGAAAUCCCCGGGCUCAACCUGGGAACUGCGUUCUGAACGGGGUGACUAGAGUGUGUCAGAGGGAGGUAGAAUUCCACGUGUAGCAGUGAAAUGCGUAGAGAUGUGGGGGAAUACCGAUGGCGAAGGCAGCCUCCUGGGAUAACACUGACGUUCAUGCCCGAAAGCGUGGGUAGCAAACAGGAUUAGAUACCCUUGUAGUCCAGGCGUU